CCUACGGGAGGCUGCAGUCGAGAAUCAUUCACAAUGGGGGAAACCCUGAUGGUGCGACGCCGCGUGGGGGAAUGAAGGUCUUCGGAUUGUAAACCCCUGUCAUGUGGGAGCAAAUUAAAAAGAUAGUACCACAAGAGGAAGAGACGGCUAACUCUGUGCCAGCAGCCGCGGUAAUACAGAGGUCGCAAGCGUUGUUCGGAAUCACUGGGAGUAAAGCGUGCGUAGGCUGUUGCGUAAGUCGUGUGUGAAAGGCGCGGGCUCAACCCGCGGACGGCACAUGAUACUGCGGUACUAGAGGACUGGAGGGGGAACCGGAAUGCUCGGUGUAGCAGUGAAAUGCGUAGAUA
rnacentral:rRNA from 1 species